GCGGUCGUGGUGGAAUUGGUAGACACGCAGCGUUGAGGUCGCUGUGGCUCAUAAGGUCUUGGAAGUUCAAGUCUUCUCGGCCGCACCA
rnacentral:tRNA from 1 species